GGCAGCGUGGCUUAGUGGAAAGUCCAUGGUCUUGGGAGUCAGAGGACAUGGGUUCUAAUCCCGGCCCCGCCA
rnacentral:tRNA from 1 species